UUAAUUGAAGAGUUUGAUCAUGGCUCAGAUUGAACGCUGGCGGCAGGCCUAACACAUGCAAGUCGAGCGGCAGCACAGAGGAACUUGUUCCUUGGGUGGCGAGCGGCGGACGGGUGAGUAAUGCCUGGGAAAUUGCCCGGUAGAGGGGGAUAACCAUUGGAAACGAUGGCUAAUACCGCAUAACCUCGUAAGAGCAAAGCAGGGGACCUUCGGGCCUUGCGCUACCGGAUAUGCCCAGGUGGGAUUAGCUAGUUGGUGAGGUAAGGGCUCACCAAGGCGACGAUCCCUAGCUGGUCUGAGAGGAUGAUCAGCCACACUGGAACUGAGACACGGUCCAGACUCCUACGGGAGGCAGCAGUGGGGAAUAUUGCACAAUGGGCGCAAGCCUGAUGCAGCCAUGCCGCGUGUAUGAAGAAGGCCUUCGGGUUGUAAAGUACUUUCAGUAGGGAGGAAGGUGGUUAAGCUAAUACCUUAAUCAUUUGACGUUACCUACAGAAGAAGCACCGGCUAACUCCGUGCCAGCAGCCGCGGUAAUACG
rnacentral:rRNA from 1 species